GGGUCGCCGAGUUGGGUGCCGGUGCCAUGGGCGCUGCUGCGGUUCCAUCUGCAACGCCUCCCUAAGGGCGAAUUCUGCAGAUGAGUUUGAUCCUGGCUCAGGAUGAACGCUGGCGGCGUGCUUAACACAUGCAAGUCGAACGGGAAGCGGCGCACUAUUGCUUAGGUGAUUGUGUGCCGUGGAGAGUGGCGAACGGGUGCGUAACACGUAGGUAACCUGCCCCGAAAGGGGGGAUAACCACGGGAAACUGUGGCUAAUACCGCAUGAUGUCUUCGGAGCACAGGCCCCGGAGAGCAAAGCUGGAAACGGCGCUGAAGGAGGGAGCUGCGGCCGAUUAGCUUGUUGGUGGGGUAACGGCCUACCAAGGCGGCAAUCGGUAGCCGGCCUGAGAGGGCGCACGGCCACACUGGAACUGAAACACGGUCCAGACUCCUACGGGAGGCAGCAGUGGGGAAUUUUGCACAAUGCCCGAAAGGGUGAUGCAGCAACGCCGCGUGGAGGAUGAAGG
rnacentral:rRNA from 1 species